rnacentral:rRNA from 1 species
AGUUAUCCGUAUGUAGCAAGGUUAAGGAGUAAUUCCGUAUCCGCAGCGAAAGCGAGUUUUAAUAGAGCGUCUAGUUGCAUGCGAUAGACCCGAAGCCAAGUGAUCUAUCCAUGGGCAGGGUGAAGCGAAGGUAAGACUUCGUGAAGGCCCGAACCCACUGAUGUUGCAAAAUCAGGGGAUGACCUGUGGAUAGGGGUGAAAGGCCAAUCAAACUUGGUGAUAGCUGGUUCUCUCCGAAAUGUCUUUAGGGACAGCGUUAUAUGUUGCGCUUUGGAGGUAGAGCACUGAUUGGGCUAGGGGGCCAACAAGCUUACUGAACUCAGUCAAACUCCGAAUGCCAAAGUGUUUAAAUAUAGCAGUGAGCCUAUGGGGGAUAAGCUCCAUAGACGAGAGGGAAACAACCCAGAUCAUCAGCUAAGGCCCCUAAAUGUAUAUUAAGUGUGAAACGAUGUGAGAGUGUUCAGACAGCCAGGAGGUUGGCUUAGAAGCAGCCAUUCCUUUAAAGAGUGCGUAACAGCUCACUGGUCGAAUGUUCUCGCGCGGAAGAUGUAACGGGGCUAAAUAUACUGCCGAAGCUAUGGGAUUUUAUUAAUUCUGAUUUCGAUCCAGAAGAUAAAAUCGGUAGGAGAGCGUUGUAUGGACAGCGAAGCGACAACGUGAGUUAGUCGUGGAGACCAUACAAGUGAGAAUGUUGGCAUGAGUAGCGAAGGAAGAGUGAGAAUCUCUUCCGCCGAAUGUCCAAGGGUUCCUGGGGAAGGUUCGUCCGCCCAGGGUUAGUCGGGACCUAAGGCGAGGUCGAGAGACGUAGUCGAUGGAUAACAGAUUGAUAUUUCUGUACCACUAAUUAAGCGCCCAAACCGAAUAUAUGUUGCUAAGGAAAGCCCUUCGGGGCCUACCGACCCACAUAUUACUAGGUUAGCAAUGGAGCGACGGAGAAGGAUAGAUGAGCCCAGGUGAUGGUUAUCCUGGGGUAAAUGUGUAGGAAGACUGAUAGGUAAAUCCGUUAGUCACAUAUUCUGAGACAUGAUGCCGAGCCGCUUUUAGGCGAAGUCAUUGAUUCCAUACUUCCAAGAAAAACUUCUAGUUAGUUUUUUUAGUGCCCGUACCCCAAACCGACACAGGUGGACAAGUAGAGAAUACUAAGGCGAGCGAGAUAACUCUGGUUAAGGAACUCGGCAAAAUAGUUCCGUAACUUCGGGAGAAGGAACGCCCAAGUAAAGUGAUUAAUUAACUUUAUGAGCUUGAACGGGCCGCAGUGAUCAGACUCAAGCGACUGUUUAUCAAAAACACAGGAGGGUGCAAAGUUCUAAUACAACGUAUACCCUCUGACACCUGCCCGGUGCUGGAAGGUUAAGUGGAGAGGUUAGCUUCGGCGAAGCUUUGAAAUUAAGCCCCAGUAAACGGCGGCCGUAACUAUAACGGUCCUAAGGUAGCGAAAUUCCUUGUCGGGUAAGUUCCGACCUGCACGAAUGGUGUAACGAUUUGAGUACUGUCUCAACCAGAGACUCGGCGAAAUUGCAAUGUGAGUAAAGAUGCUCACUAUGCGCGACAGGACGGAAAGACCCCGGAACCUUUACUGCAACUUGAUAUUGAAGUUUGGUGUGCAGUAUGCAGGAUAAGUGGGAGACUAUGAAAUAGCGGCGCUAGUCGUUAUGGAGUCAUCCUUGAGAUACCACUUUCUUCAUAUUGAGCUUCUAACCUAGAUCCGUUAUCCGGAUCAGGGACA